GAUUGGAUACAAACCUUUUGCAUGCAUGUUUUCAUUUGAACCCAGAUAAGGAUCACCCUUUUACAAAAACAAAAUGGAUGUGAUUAGAUACUAUGUAUUUCUAAUUACCUCUCCUUAGUAUUCAUUAGAAGCAAUUCAAGGGUCACACUGGCUUUUGUAGCUGUUUUUGCAACCCUCUGCCUUGUCAGUGCGUAGCUUUUAAAGUGUGCUUUUGAAUGUGUGGAAUUAAAAGCAAGGGAGAUAGCAGAACAACCUCAAAAAUUGCUUGUACUUUCCAGGACAGAGGAUGCACGGUUACAAUUUGCCUGUGAUACUGAGGUCAGAAAAUUUUCACUUUCAUUAAAGCCACACAUAUAAAUGUCAAGUACACACUGAUUCUUCUCUGAGGUCAGAUCAGACCAACUCUCCUCUCUACGUUUUAUCUUGACAGCAUUGACCAGUUGCUUCCUAAUGAACUCCUGUAUCUAGCAUAGGCAUGUGACACUUGCAGAAUGUGGUUUGGCACUUUCAGAUUGCAAGCAGACAUGCACACAUCCUCUGAAAGGCCAAAUACUACUCAUAACACACAGGGGAGGUUUGCCUUGUGGCUUUGGCUCCAUGCUUCUAACAUUUCUAUGCUGAGAACCUGCUACUGUUCUUAGUAAAUGGCCUCAGAUCACCCUACCUUCCUGGGGCUUGAACUAUGGCUCUGGCUGCCUCAAGAAAAUCAUAGUGAUCAGUGAUUAUAUUCUUCAUCAUCCCCUGUUGCAGUUAGCACAGUGCAGCUGUGGAAGAUGAUCGUGCAGGGCCGUGGUAAUUGCCGUGGAUUUCUGAGCCGUUCUCCAGCAGGGCCAGUCCUGAAGGCUGAGUAGAGGCCGGGAUUUGCCAGCCUGCCUGGAAUGUGACCGAGGCUGAAAGCUGACACCAGCUCAGUGGAAAAAGGCUUGUGAGCAAAGGCUGUCUCCAAGACAACAGAGUAUUUUCCCUGUGAUGCAUUUACACAGUGGGGUUAAAGUUCUGUGAAAGCAACAGCUGCUGUAAAAACAUUGUAUUAAAUAUGCUUAGAACUGUAAAA